rnacentral:lncRNA from 1 species
AACUGUAAAAAAAAAAAAAAGGUGCUGCCCUUUUUUAAAUUGGAAAAGAUUGUUUGCUACUCUGGUUCCGUUUCAUCCAAAUAUCGAUUAAUUGAAUGGAAAACUAAUACUUCUAUAGGUUUAGUUUUAUUGAAUUCCAAGUCAAAAUUCUAAGCCGAUUUUGUAUACAAUAAGUCGGUCUUAAAAUGUCGGGCUUAAUUAAUCAAAUAAAACUAGAUAUCUUAUCAAUAGAUGGCCACACUGUUUAGUGGAUCGUCUGCAGUAGAAAUUCAUGGUUCAUCAGAUGUGUCCUAGUUGUUAGGGAUUCGUUAAUAGUUUUUUAAACAAAAUGUAAAUUGGUAAAAUGAAAUAACAUAUGACCUAUACCUUUAGAUCACUUGUUUUCACAAAUGGAGAUUUAUUCCACAAGCUUCCUAGGCAGACACCCACCCACACAACCAUGGGUGAUAAAUGAUAUAAAAGUUUAUUAAUUUAAAAAAUUUAGAUUUUAGGUUAUUGAUAACAGAGUCAGGAAACAAUGUGUGGAAUCUGAUAUUCUAGCCCUGGAAACCACAGAUGCCUUUCUGCUUUAACAAGGCUAUAAAGCAAUUAUAAUUUCAGGAGAAGUGUAUACAGAUGUUCAGGGUCAAAUCGAUGAAAUGGUUGAGCCAAAAAAGAACUUCAUAUUACUUUUGCACAGGUCCUAACUCAGUGUACGUGGUUUAUGCCCCACAAUACAAUCCAAUAAACUUCAGGCUGAGGUCUUGAAGUGCUGAGGUCUUGCAGUGCUGAGAAUUUAUUUGGCAAGCAAAUACUCAAUAAGGAGUUAGGUGGAACAGUGGAGAGAAAAAUAUUCGCGAUGGGCAAUUUGAGAUCCAAGUAGAAACGGAGUGCCUAUUGUUUAAAGGCUUAGAGACUCGGCAAAUGGUAUUACAUGGUAAAUGGUUAAAUGGUAUUGUGACAGCUUAGACAAGGUUGCAGAAGGGUUGCGUUGCGUCGCAAAAUCUUCACAUCAUAUUAUUUCCGCUAUUGCUGAUAUUACUGAGUCCAGUUCCAUGAUUUGACUGAAAACGGACGAAAAAUGUUGCAUGCCUUCUUAUUCGAAAUCUGUGGAUUGCAAGGAGGUUUCACAUUGGAGAAACGCGAGCAGCAGUGUAACGAUUACAUCCGGCGCACGGUCGGACGUGAUAAGAUCGUGCUCAUGCUAGUAAGCGGUGGAGUCGAUUCCGCCGUUCGUGCCGCCCUUCUCCAUAAAGCACUUCUACAGGUGAUAACUCGUCGCGAGUGCAGGGCAUCUAUAUCCAUUCUUAUCUUUUUCUUUUUUUUUAAUUUUAUCUUUACGAAAAGAUACAAUAUGUUUGCUAAUUUACUUUAUUUACGUUAUUCACCGACAGUUUACAAGCGUUUUAGUAAUUUACCUUGGGCUACUUGAAAUUAUUAUUACAAGUUUCAUUUAAGUUCAUGGUAAAAGUUGAAAUUCAAAGUGUAUGUCUAAUGGCACAACGGUAUAGCAUCGGAGCGGUACGCAGAAGAUUUAGGGUUCGAUUCCCUAAAGAGUUCAGUUACAUUCCAAUGUAAAAAUAAAUUCCAUUGGGAAAAUUCUGAUUUAUGAGUUACAAAAUCUCUGAGUAAAAUUAGAGUGCCUUAACCAAAGACUUGUAAAGCCCUAUUCUACAACGUGGCUAUUGGUCGCAUAUACUGGAACAUUACAACUCAGAUGGAAAACGAA